rnacentral:rRNA from 1 species
GAUGAACGUUGGCGGCAUGCUUAACACAUGCAAGUCGAACGCAGGGCGUCACGCUCUGAGUGGCGAACGGGUGCGUAACACGUAGGUGACCUGCCUGACAAUGGGGGAGUAACCCGUGGAAACACGGGCUAAUACCGCAUACGCUGGGGAUCGUUCGAGAGUUCCCAGGAAAGUUCCGGCGUUGUCAGAGGGGCCUGCGGCCUAUCAGAUAGUUGGUGAGGUAACGGCUCACCAAGUCGAUGACGGGUAGCUGACCUGAGAGGGUGGUCAGCCACAGGGGCACUGAGACACGGGGCCCCACUCCUACGGGAGGCAGCAGUGAGGAAUAUUGGGCCAAUGGGGGACAACCCUGACCCAGCAAUGCCGCGUGCAGGAGGACGCC